GCCCGCGUAGCUCAAUCGGUAGAGCGUGGGACUCUUAUAAUGAAGGGUU
rnacentral:tRNA from 1 species